AACUGUCACUGACAGCACAAUCAAAAUCACAGUAAAGUUCUGUCCUGUCCUUUACUGUGAUCAAAAUCAAGAUGGAGGUAGGAUUUGUUUGAAAGUUUAUGGUUUAUUUAUGUCAAAAUAGUAAAUUUUCAAUGAGGAUUAUAGAAAAAAUAUGCACUGAAAUACAGAACCCGACGUUUUUAAAGCAUUAUAAAAUUUACCUAAUUUUAACUGAAAUUUGCAUAUAAAAUCAACUUUAAUAAUAUGGAAAUAAAACAAGAAGCUAUGGUGAAAACUUAUAAAAUAGAAACAUAUAAUGAGGCGUCUGAUGGUUCCUUGGAUGUCUUCAAGAUUGAAAUUAAAGAAGAACCCAAGAGAGGUUGUGCAUAUGAUGCAUUUGAUUAUGGAGACUUAAAAAAUGAAUUCCCCCUAAAAACUGAAAUAGAAGAUGAAUAUAAAUUGACAUCUUUUGAAGAAAAGCAAACGAAGAAUGAAGAAAGUAGUCCCCAAGAAGAUAACAAAACUGAGAUUAUGGAAACUUCAACUGCACAUCCAUCUCAUAAAGGAAAAUGUAAUAGGCCUUACAAAUGUGAAACUUGUUUUAAACAAUUUACUCGACCACGCAAUUUGAAAAUUCAUUUGAGAGUGCACAAUGGAGAAAAACCUCACAAGUGUGAAAUUUGUUUUAAGCAAUUUAGUGAAAGAGGCACUUUGAAAAGACAUCUGAGAGUUCAUACUGGGGAAAAACCUUACAAGUGUGAGGUUUGUUGUAAGCAGUUUUCUCAGAAAGCUAAUUUGGAAUGUCAUUUGAUACAGCACACUGGAGAAAAACAAUAUAAGUGCGAGAUUUGUUUUAAGCAAUUUAGUGAAAGAGGCACUUUGAAAAGACGUCUAAGAGUUCAUACUGGGGAAAACCUUACAAGUGUGAGGUUUGUUUUAAGCAAUUUUUUAGAUUCAAUGAUUUAAAAAGAGAUACGAGAGUGCAUACUGGGGAAAAACCUCACAAGUGUGACAUAUGUUUUAAGCAAUUUAGUGAAGCAAGUAAUUUGAAAAAGCAUUUGAUUACACACACUGGGGAAAAACGUAAAGCGUGUGAGAUUUGUUGUGGUCUCCAAGAGGAUAAGAAAAUGGAAAUUAUGAAAACUUCAACUGCACAUUCUUCUCCUAAAGGAAAAUGUACUAGUCCUUACAAAUGUGAAACUUGUCUUAAGCAGUUUACUCGAACAGACGGUUUGAAAAUUCAUUUGAGAGUUCACACUGGAGAAAAGCCAUACAAGUGUGAAAUUUGUUUUAAGCAAUUUAGUGAAGGAGGCACUUUGAAAAGACAUUUGAGAGUUCAUACUGG
rnacentral:misc_RNA from 1 species